rnacentral:rRNA from 1 species
GUGCACCAGUCGCGAACCUCCGCAAUACACGAAAGUGUGACGGGCCAUCCCGAGUGCCGUCCGCCGAGGACGGCUUUUCCCCAGUGUACACAGCUGGGGGAAUAAGGAGAGGGCAAGCCUGGUGUCAGCCGCCGCGGUAAUACCAGCUCUCCGAGUGGUGGGGACGCUUAUUGGGCCUAAAGCAUCCGUAGCCGGCUGGGCAAGUCCUCCGUUAAAUCCAACGAUUCAAUCGUUGGGCUGCGGGGGAUACUGUCCAGCUUGGGGGCGGGAGAGGCCGACGGUAUUCCCGGGGUAGGGGUGAAAUCCUAUAAUCCCGGGAGGACCACCAGUGGCGAAGGCUGUCGGCUAGAACGCGCCCGACGGUGAGGGAUGAAAGCUGGGGGAGCGAACCGGAUUAGAUACCCCCGUA